rnacentral:rRNA from 1 species
CGGCGUAAAGAGUGGUUAUGGAGUUUUUUUAUAAAGUGGAAUACCCCCUAAACUGUUAUACGCACCCAGGGGUCAGAACUUCUUUCACGAAAGUAACUUUAUUAAUGCCCACCAGAAUCCACGAAAGCCGGGGUACAAACUGGGAUUAGAUACCCCACUAUGCCCGGCCGUAAACUUAGAUGCUCCUGUACAAUUAGCAUCCGCCAGGGAACUACGAGCACUAGCUUAAAACCCAAAGGACUUGGCGGUGCCUCAGACCCCCCUAGAGGAGCCUGUUCUAGAACCGAUAAUCCCCGUUUAACCUCACCACCCCUUGCCCCUUCCGCCUAUAUACCACCGUCGCCAGCUUACCCUGUGAAGGAAUUAGUAAGCAAAAUGGAAAUUUUCCAGAACGUCAGGUCGAGGUGUAGCACACGGAGUGGGAAGAAAUGGGCUACAUUGCCUAAUAUAGACUACUACGGAAAGUCGCCUGAAAGGGCUAUUUUAAGGUGGAUUUAGCAGUAAAAGGGGAAUAGAGUGCCCCUUUGAAUUCGGCUCUGAGGCGCGCACACACCGCCCGUCACUCUCCCCAACAAUUUUUCUUUAGGUAAUUAACCCUUUCUACUUCACAAGGGGAGGCAAGUCGUAACAUGGUAAGUGUA